UAUAAACAACUUGACUGGCAUCCGAAUGAAUAAGAGUUUCGAAUCUCUCGUCGUUGGCGCUGGUGGAUUUGAGAACCUUCCGUUUUUGGAAAAAGAUUGUUGGAAUUAUAUCAACAAGGCAAGACAUCUACGACUUGGGAAAGGUGGUGCUG